GUCCCCGUGGCAGAGCCCGGUAAUUGCGAAAGGCCUAAGCCCUUAAUAAGGAGGUUCAACUCCUCCCGGUGACU
rnacentral:tRNA from 1 species